UUUUUUGACAAGAUAGAAACUACCAGAACUUUCGCCUUAAUACCGAGGCUUUCAUUUUUCGGAUAUGAGAUCUGAUGUAUGAUAGAUUAUUGGAAUACGAUGGAAUAUGUAAGGCGAAAAGGAUCAUAUGUGGCAAAUCGGAUCGGAGAUAGGGUUGUUGUUUCAUCACUACCCACACUCAUAAGCGUGAUGUGCCGAUGAUGACGAGGGUUGAGAAUACACAGAAGGAAGGUGGCAAUUUGAGCGAAAAAAGAAGAAGUCGGCAUGCUUAUUGUGGGGAAAUGCAACUCGCAAGUUGCACGCCUAAUUUCGAGGAGUCGGGAACGAAGAAGACGAGAAAGACGGGGAUCAAAUGAACAAUUUAUCAGCAGCCGUUGUUGUUACCAGAUUUUACCAAAUGAGCCAGGUGAUCAUCCGAUGGUAACACUAAAAGUACAGAUCUUAAUAUGGCAUAGUAUGUCAGUAGGUUGAGUUAAUUUUAGUGUUACCAGAUUGUAUACUAGUAAAUAGUACUUCCAUGCUCAUCAUUUCAGCCAGAUAUCUGGUUUGGUGAACAUUUCCAUUUACCGUAAGAAUCCGACAUCUUUACUUACAAAGUAUUUCAUUCGCUUCAUCAGUAGAUACUUGCCUGACACUACUGGAAAAUUGGUAAUAGAGUACACCCCCAUCUAAUACGGUUGUAAAAAAACCCGUAUUAUAAAGGGAUAAAUAAAUAUAAUACACACAAUUGCAGCAUCUAAUACGGUCAAUGAGAUGUACUAGAAACAAAAUCAAAUAACUAAAAAAAUACGCCCCCAUUUUGAUUAAGUACGACUAAUACAUAAACAUGAUCAACUUCCUCUUUAGUUAGAAAUCCAACUUUAAUGCCUUUAUCCUUGCUGCUACAACUUUGAUCCUGUUUUCAACUAUUAAAGUAUUUGUCCCUAGAAAACCUCCUGUUGACUACCAAGGAGCUAGAGAAGCAAAACCAAUCACAGAAUUUGCACUCAAACAAGUGAAGACACUCCUUAAAGACAGAUUAAGUUGAAAAACUACAAUUACUGAAACAAGUGUACAGGUUUGUAUGAUGAUAUAAAAGCAUUAUUCUCAAAGGAAUGGAAUUGAUAGGGGAAUGGAAUGACUGAUUCCAUUCUUAUCAUAGAAAAGAAAAGAGAGGUACAUAACAGAAAUAUAUAGAGACGUGCAUCAAAAAAGUGUACAAGUUUGUAUGAUGAUAUAAAAGUACAAUUUUACCCUUGGGGUAAUAUAUUUUUAA